AGCCACUGGGCAUACUCUAGUGUUCAGCAGUACAGGGUCAUCGGAAGGCACACGGUCUGCUGGGAGGGGACGUGUCAUCAUUCUCACUUAUCGGGGAAAAUGGAUCUGACGGUGUUUUUAAGGAUUCUAUUUGGACCAAUAAGAGGAUCUUCAUAUACACAUGAGCCACCAAUAAGGAGAGCGUGAUAGGACGCUUCGAGAUUGCCUUGCAACGCACCAUUGAGAGACUGAACCGGGAUACAGAGUCGAAUCACUUCCUGUGCCAGUGACUCUUACCGGAAGUUGUCACGGACGAAGCGUCCCGGCUACCCUAAUGGCGUGCGGGCCAAAUACCAGAUGUAGAAUUUUAAUACAUGUUAUGGACUCUUUUUAGGAGUUACUUAUAACUGGAAUUGUGUAUAUUGGUGUUCCGAACGAUGGCAUAAGAUCUCCUGCAUAAUAUAUGGUCCAGAUAGGCGUUGUGUGAUAUGCGCUCUUUGAUGACGUCUCACUAUUGUCGUCAUACAAACGGUCGCUUAUGAAUAGAAUGUAUAAUGUUAAAUACACUGUAUCAAUAGAGACUUUUUUGUAAUGGUUUACUCUCAUAUAGAUUUAUAUAAUUAUUUUAUGUAAGAUAAAGGUUUUUAUCCACUUGUUAAUAUAUAUCACGUGACCGGGAUUGAGGAGGUAUAAAUAUGACUUCCGGGUGAUAUUCCAGCACACUUUGAAAAAGGACAAUGAUCCGAAACGCGUUAGUGUGCUGUGGCCUUUUGACUAAGGACAUCUCCAUUGGCUGUUGGGUAUAGUAUGAUGCUUAUGAUAUAUAAGUUUCUCCUAUGAUUCCGGACCUAGGAGGAUUGCCAUCAAUCAUUUCUUGCCUGUUCAGCCGGUGGCGGUGUUUUUGGUCAAAGGUUGAUACAUUUGUUUUAUGUCUGUUUUUAUGGUCUUUUGUACCAAUAAAAUAUCUUUUUUAACAUUA